GAGUUUGAUCCUGGCUCAGAACGAACGCUGGCGGCAGGCUUAACACAUGCAAGUCGAACGGUUGUAGCAAUACAGCAGUGGCGCACGGGUGAGUAACGCGUGGAUAUCUGCCUUUUGGUUCGGAAUAACCCCGGGAAACUGGGGCUAAUACCGGAUGGUUCCUUCGGGAUAAAGAUUUAUCGCCAAAAGAUGAGUCCGCGUACGAUUAGCUAGUUGGUGAGGUAAUGGCUCACCAAGGCGACGAUCGUUAGCUGGUCUGAGAGGACGAUCAGCCGCACUGGAACUGAGACACGGUCCAGACUCCUACGGGAGGCAGCAGUGGGGAAUCUUGCGCAAUGGGGGAAACCCUGACGCAGCCACGCCGCGUGGGUGAUGAAGGCCUUCGGGUCGUAAAGCCCUGUCGGGAGGGAAGAAGUUCUGACGGUACCUCCCAAGAAAGCACCGGCUAACUCCGUGCCAGCCGCCGCGGUAAC
rnacentral:rRNA from 1 species